rnacentral:lncRNA from 1 species
AAAUAAUCUCCAACUAAUAGGAAGGACCACAAAAUCAUACUUCAAGCAACAGAGGUACCAUGCAGGAUGAAUAAUAGGGGCCAUCCUACAGUGGUGCUCCAAGCAGACAGGAAACAUGGCCCAGAAGCAUGGAGGCGCAUCUGUGUCUUGUUUCAGGAAGAAUCAUGCUGCUUGGUCUCCUCCAGUAGAACACGCACAUUCCAUCUCUGAAGAAAGAAAAUUUCAACAGUCCUGGCUCAUUCUAUCCUUUGUUCUCUUUGUGCCCUACAAGGCACAGUGGUCAUAAAGGCUCAGAGGUGCAUCCUGUGCUCUCCGUACAUCCGUUCCAGGGUCUCCGUUGACUUACCCGCGGGCCGGGACAAGUGGCGCCCAACGUGCGGCCAGAGAACGGGGGAUCCAGUGAAGGACGCUGCUCAGGGGCCCUAAGAUUAAGAUUGAGGAACAAAGAGCACACUCGACACGGGAGAGGCUUGCAAUUGACGUGGACCUGCCGUCUUUUUGCACCUCG